GCCGGGGUAGGCUCAGUUGGUAGAGCGCUACGGCAGCUUCAGGAGUGAGGUGGCGUCGUAUGGUCGCAGGUUCGAAUCCUGCCCCCGGUA
rnacentral:tRNA from 1 species